rnacentral:rRNA from 1 species
CCUACGGGGGGCAGCAGUGAGGAAUAUUGGUCAAUGGGAGAGAUCCUGAACCAGCCAAGCCGCGUGAGGGAAGACGGCCCUAUGGGUUGUAAACCUCUUUUGUCGGAGAACAAAACCUGGCACGUGUCCCGUACUGCGUGUAUCCGAAGAAAAAGCAUCGGCUAACUCCGUGCCAGCAGCCGCGGUAAUACGGGGGAUGCGGGCGUUACCCGGAUUUAUUGGGUUAAAGGGGUGCGUAGGCGGGCCGUUAAGUAAGCGGUAAAAUUGCGGGGCUCAACCCCGUCUAGCUGUUGAAACUGGCAGACUUGAGUUGGCGAGAAGUACGCGGAAUGCGCGGUGUAGCGGUGAAAUGCAUAGAUAUCGCGCAGAACUCCGAUUGCGAAGGCAGCGUACCGGCGCCAGACUGACGCUGAGGCACGAAAGCGUGGGGAUCGAACAGGAUUAGAUACCCCGGUAGUC